AUGCUUAUUCUUCANUNGCUNGNUCGAACGUNNUCACGGGGGCAACCCGUGNUGGCGAGUUGGCGAACGGNUGAGUAAUACAUCGGAACNNGCCCNGCUANUGNNGGAUAGNCCGGCGAAAGCCGGAUUANUACCGCAUACUACCUAUGGNUGAAAGCGGGGNAUCNCAANACCUCGCGCUAUUGUAGCGNCCGAUGNCAGAUUAGCUUGUUGGUGGGGUAAUGNCCUANCAAGGCGACGAUCUGUNGCUGGNCUGANAGGACNACCANCCNCANUGGGACUGANACACGNCCCAGANUCCUACNNNAGGCAGCNNUGNGGAAUUUUGNACAAUGNGGGAAACCCUGAUCCAGCAAUGCCGCGUGUGUNAAGAAGGCCUUCGGGUUGUAAAGCACUUUUGGCGGGAACGAAAAGGUCCGUGCUAAUACCAUGGACUAAUGACGGUACCCGCAGAAUAAGCACCGGCUAACUACGUGCCAGCAGCCGCGGUAAUACGUAGGGUGCAAGCGUUAAUCGGAAUUACUGGGCGUAAAGCGUGCGCAGGCGGUUUUGUAAGACAGGUGUGAAAUCCCCGGGCUUAACCUGGGAAUUGCAUUUGUGACUGCGAGGCUAGAGUGUGUCAGAGGGAGGUGGAAUUCCGCGUGUAGCAGUGAAAUGCGUAGAGAUGCGGAGGAACACCGAUGGCGAAGGCAGCCUCCUGGGAUGACACUGACGCUCAUGCACGAAAGCGUGGGGAGCAAACAGGAUUAGAUACCCUGGUAGUCCACGCCCUAAACGAUGUCUACUAGUUGUCGGUCCCUUAAUUGGAUUGGUAACGCAGCUAACGCGUGAAGUAGACCGCCUGGGGAGUACGGUCGCAAGAUUAAAACUCAAAGGANUUGACGGGGACCCCCCACAGCGGUGGAUGAUGUGGAU
rnacentral:rRNA from 1 species